AUGUGUAGGCCAGUUUACAUCUGCCUGGUCACUUUUCCCUACCUCUGGGGCUCUAUGGUAGGAACAAUGCAGGUAAUAUUGACUUCUCGCUUGUCCUUUUGUGGACCUAACACCAUCAACCAUUUCUACUGUGCUGACCCACCGCUGUUAAUGCUGACAUGUUCUGACACUUACAUAAAGCAAAGCGCCCUGUUUGUUUCCGCAGGGAUCAAUCUCAUAGGUUCCCUGCUCAUUACCCUCACCUCCUAUAUUUUCAUCUUCAUCACCAUUUUGAGGAUCCGUUCCAGUGAAGGACAACGCAAAGCCUUCUCCACCUGUGGCUCUCACCUGACAGCAGUCGCUAUGUUUUAUGGCUCCCUCUUCUGUAUGUAUCUGAGACCAGCAAAUUAGCAGUCUGUUGAGCAAGGGAAAAUUGUGUCAGUGUUUUGUAUUUUUGUGAGUCCCAUGCUGAAUCCAUUCAUCUACAGCCUGAGAAACAAUGAUGUAAAACAGGCUUUGAGAAAACUGUUUAUGACCAACCUUGGUAAAAUGGAGAAAAAUUCAAUGCCUACAGUCUCCAAUAGAAAUGUCUUUAAAAAUUAA